rnacentral:rRNA from 1 species
UGCAGUCGAACGGUUGUAGCAAUACAGCAGUGGCAGACGGGUGAGUAACACGUGGGAACCUUCCUAGGGGUACGGAACAACUCAGGGAAACUUGAGCUAAUACCGUAUACGUCCGUGAGGAGAAAGAUUUAUCGCCCUUAGACGGGCCCGCGUAGGAUUAGGUAGUUGGUGGGGUAAUGGCCUACCAAGCCUACGAUCCUUAGCUGAUCUGAGAGGAUGAUCACCCACACUGGGACUGAGACACGGCCCACACUCCUACGGGAGGCAGCAGUGGGGAAUCUUGGACAAUGGGCGCAAGCCUGAUCCAGCCAUGCCGCGUGAGUGAAGAAGGCCUUCGGGUUGUAAAGCUCUUUUACCAGGGACGAUAAUGACGGUACCUGGAGAAUAAGCCCCGGCAAACUUCGUGCCAGCAGCCGCGGUAAUACGAAGGGGGCUAGCGUUGUCCGGAAUUACUGGGCGUAAAGCGCACGUAGGCGGGUCGUUAAGUCAGGGGUGAAAUCCCAGAGCUCAACUCUGGAACUGCCUUUGAUACUGGCGACCUAGAGUCCGGAAGAGGUUAGUGGAAUUCCCAGUGUAGAGGUGAAAUUCGUAUAUAUUGGGAAGAACACCAGUGGCGAAGGCGGCUAACUGGUCCGGUACUGACGCUGAGGUGCGAAAGCGUGCGGAGCAAACAGGAUUAGAUACCCUGGUAGUCCACGCCGUAAACUAUGGGUGCUAGCCGUCACGAAGCUUGCUUCUUGGUGGCGCAGCUCACGCAUUAAGCACCCCGCCCUGGGGAGUA